UAUCAGGCACGCCCAUAACACCUAGCCUCGCCACACCCAGGGUCCUCAGCAGUGAUCAACAUUAAUAUAAACGUCAGUUUGACUUAGUCAGUGAAAAUAGAGCCGGCCAAUCUGGUGCCAGCCGCCGCGGCUACACCAGAGGCUCAGGUUGAUUCGGCGUAAAGCGUGAUUAAAGGGUUAAACCCGAACUGAGCUGUGACACGCCUGUUCAGGGAAACUUAAAUUUGAAAAAUGCCCCAACCCAUCAACUUGAAUUCACUACAAUUGGGGCACAAACUGGGAUUAGAUACCCCACUAUGCCCAAUCGCAAACUUUAACUUACCGCCAGGGAACUACGAGCAAAGCUUAAAACCCAAAGGACUUGACGGUACCCUACAUCCUUCUAGAGGAGCCUGUCCUGUAACCGAUACUCCCCGUUAAACCUCACCACUUUUAGUUCAGUCUGUAUACUUCCGUCGCCAGCUUACCGUGUGAGCGAAAGUAAGCUAAAUGUUAGUGAUCAAUACGUCAGGUCAAAGUGCAGCAAAUAGAGUGGCAAGAGAUGGGCUACACUUUCUAUAGAAGAUACGAAAGACUUUAUGAAACGUCAGAAGGUGGAUUUAGUAGUAAGAAGAUAGAGCAUUCAUCUUAAUGGCACUGGGGUGUGUACACACCGCCCGUCACCCUCU
rnacentral:rRNA from 1 species